rnacentral:tRNA from 1 species
GGGUCCGUAGCCUAGCCUGGACAGGGCGACAGCCUUCUAAGCUGUAGACCGUGGGUUCAAAUCCCAUCGGACCCA